rnacentral:rRNA from 1 species
AAUGAACGCUGGCGGCAGGCUUAACACAUGCAAGUCGAGCGCCCCGCAAGGGGAGCGGCAGACGGGUGAGUAACGCGUGGGAAUCUACCCAUCUCUACGGAAUAACGCAUGGAAACGUGUGCUAAUACCGUAUACGUCCUUCGGGAGAAAGAUUUAUCGGAGAUGGAUGAGCCCGCGUUGGAUUAGCUAGUUGGUGGGGUAAAGGCCUACCAAGGCGACGAUCCAUAGCUGGUCUGAGAGGAUGAUCAGCCACACUGGGACUGAGACACGGCCCAGACUCCUACAGGAGGCAGCAGUGGGGAAUAUUGGACAAUGGGCGCAAGCCUGAUCCAGCCAUGCCGCGUGAGUGAUGAAGGCCCUAGGGUUGUAAAGCUCUUUCACCGGUGAAGAUAAUGACGGUAACCGGAGAAGAAGCCCCGGCUAACUUCGUGCCAGCCGCCGCGGUAAAAC